GCCGGGAUGGCGGAAUAGGCAGACGCGCAUGGUUGAGGGCCAUGUGGAGGUUACUCCGUGGGGGUUCAAAUCCCCCUCCCGGCA
rnacentral:tRNA from 1 species